GUUCCCAUUCCGAACACGGAAGUUAAGCUGUGCUGUGCCGACAAUACUUGGCUGGAGACGGCCCGGGAAGAUAGGUCGACGCCAACU
rnacentral:rRNA from 1 species